AGCGUACACGGUGGAUGCCCUGGCAGUCAGAGGCGAUGAAGGACGUGCUAAUCUGCGAUAAGCGUCGGUAAGGUGAUAUGAACCGUUAUAACCGGCGAUUUCCGAAUGGGGAAACCCAGUGUGUUUCGACACACUAUCAUUAACUGAAUCCAUAGGUUAAUGAGGCGAACCGGGGGAACUGAAACAUCUAAGUACCCCGAGGAAAAGAAAUCAACCGAGAUUCCCCCAGUAGCGGCGAGCGAACGGGGAGCAGCCCAGAGCCUGAAUCAGUGUGUGUGUUAGUGGAAGCGUCUGGAAAGGCGCGCGAUACAGGGUGACAGCCCCGUACACAAAAAUGCACAUGCUGUGAGCUCGAUGAGUAGGGCGGGACACGUGGUAUCCUGUCUGAAUAUGGGGGGACCAUCCUCCAAGGCUAAAUACUCCUGACUGACCGAUAGUGAACCAGUACCGUGAGGGAAAGGCGAAAAGAACCCCGGCGAGGGGAGUGAAAAAGAACCUGAAACCGUGUACGUACAAGCAGUGGGAGCACGCUUAGGCGUGUGACUGCGUACCUUUUGUAUAAUGGGUCAGCGACUUAUAUUCUGUAGCAAGGUUAACCGAAUAGGGGAGCCGAAGGGAAACCGAGUCUUAACUGGGCGUUAAGUUGCAGGGUAUAGACCCGAAACCCGGUGAUCUAGCCAUGGGCAGGUUGAAGGUUGGGUAACACUAACUGGAGGACCGAACCGACUAAUGUUGAAAAAUUAGCGGAUGACUUGUGGCUGGGGGUGAAAGGCCAAUCAAACCGGGAGAUAGCUGGUUCUCCCCGAAAGCUAUUUAGGUAGCGCCUCGUGAAUUCAUCUCCGGGGGUAGAGCACUGUUUCGGCAAGGGGGUCAUCCCGACUUACCAACCCGAUGCAAACUGCGAAUACCGGAGAAUGUUAUCACGGGAGACACACGGCGGGUGCUAACGUCCGUCGUGAAGAGGGAAACAACCCAGACCGCCAGCUAAGGUCCCAAAGUCAUGGUUAAGUGGGAAACGAUGUGGGAAGGCCCAGACAGCCAGGAUGUUGGCUUAGAAGCAGCCAUCAUUUAAAGAAAGCGUAAUAGCUCACUGGUCGAGUCGGCCUGCGCGGAAGAUGUAACGGGGCUAAACCAUGCACCGAAGCUGCGGCAGCGACGCUUAUGCGUUGUUGGGUAGGGGAGCGUUCUGUAAGCCUGCGAAGGUGUGCUGUGAGGCAUGCUGGAGGUAUCAGAAGUGCGAAUGCUGACAUAAGUAACGAUAAAGCGGGUGAAAAGCCCGCUCGCCGGAAGACCAAGGGUUCCUGUCCAACGUUAAUCGGGGCAGGGUGAGUCGACCCCUAAGGCGAGGCCGAAAGGCGUAGUCGAUGGGAAACAGGUUAAUAUUCCUGUACUUGGUGUUACUGCGAAGGGGGGACGGAGAAGGCUAUGUUGGCCGGGCGACGGUUGUCCCGGUUUAAGCGUGUAGGCUGGUUUUCCAGGCAAAUCCGGAAAAUCAAGGCUGAGGCGUGAUGACGAGGUACUACGGUGCUGAAGCAACAAAUGCCCUGCUUCCAGGAAAAGCCUCUAAGCAUCAGGUAACAUCAAAUCGUACCCCAAACCGACACAGGUGGUCAGGUAGAGAAUACCAAGGCGCUUGAGAGAACUCGGGUGAAGGAACUAGGCAAAAUGGUGCCGUAACUUCGGGAGAAGGCACGCUGAUAUGUAGGUGAAGUCCCUUGCGGAUGGAGCUGAAAUCAGUCGAAGAUACCAGCUGGCUGCAACUGUUUAUUAAAAACACAGCACUGUGCAAACACGAAAGUGGACGUAUACGGUGUGACGCCUGCCCGGUGCCGGAAGGUUAAUUGAUGGGGUUAGCGGUAACGCGAAGCUCUUGAUCGAAGCCCCGGUAAACGGCGGCCGUAACUAUAACGGUCCUAAGGUAGCGAAAUUCCUUGUCGGGUAAGUUCCGACCUGCACGAAUGGCGUAAUGAUGGCCAGGCUGUCUCCACCCGAGACUCAGUGAAAUUGAACUCGCUGUGAAGAUGCAGUGUACCCGCGGCAAGACGGAAAGACCCCGUGAACCUUUACUAUAGCUUGACACUGAACAUUGAGCCUUGAUGUGUAGGAUAGGUGGGAGGCUUUGAAGUGUGGACGCCAGUCUGCAUGGAGCCGACCUUGAAAUACCACCCUUUAAUGUUUGAUGUUCUAACGUUGACCCGUGAUCCGGGUUGCGGACAGUGUCUGGUGGGUAGUUUGACUGGGGCGGUCUCCUCCUAAAGAGUAACGGAGGAGCACGAAGGUUGGCUAAUCCUGGUCGGACAUCAGGAGGUUAGUGCAAUGGCAUAAGCCAGCUUGACUGCGAGCGUGACGGCGCGAGCAGGUGCGAAAGCAGGUCAUAGUGAUCCGGUGGUUCUGAAUGGAAGGGCCAUCGCUCAACGGAUAAAAGGUACUCCGGGGAUAACAGGCUGAUACCGCCCAAGAGUUCAUAUCGACGGCGGUGUUUGGCACCUCGAUGUCGGCUCAUCACAUCCUGGGGCUGAAGUAGGUCCCAAGGGUAUGGCUGUUCGCCAUUUAAAGUGGUACGCGAGCUGGGUUUAGAACGUCGUGAGACAGUUCGGUCCCUAUCUGCCGUGGGCGCUGGAGAACUGAGGGGGGCUGCUCCUAGUACGAGAGGACCGGAGUGGACGCAUCACUGGUGUUCGGGUUGUCAUGCCAAUGGCACUGCCCGGUAGCUAAAUGCGGAAGAGAUAAGUGCUGAAAGCAUCUAAGCACGAAACUUGCCCCGAGAUGAGUUCU
rnacentral:rRNA from 1 species